rnacentral:rRNA from 1 species
GACGAACGCUGGCGGCGUGCUUAACACAUGCAAGUCGAACGGAAAGGCCCUGCUUUUGUGGGGUGCUCGAUUGGCGAACGGGUGAGUAACACGUGAGUAACCUGCCCUUGACUUUGGGAUAACUUCAGGAAACUGGGGCUAAUACCGGAUAGGAGCUCCUGCUGCAUGGUGGGGGUUGGAAAGUUUCGGCGGUUGGGGAUGGACUCGCGGCUUAUCAGCUUGUUGGUGGGGUAGUGGCUUACCAAGGCUUUGACGGGUAGCCGGCCUGAGAGGGUGACCGGCAACAUUGGGACUGAGAUACGGCCCAGACUCCUACGGGAGGCAGCAGUGGGGAAUAUUGCACAAUGGGCGGAAGCCUGAUGCAGCAACGCCGCGUGCGGGAUGACGGCCUUCGGGUUGUAAACAGAUUUCGACUGUGACGAAGCGUGAGUGACGGUAAUGGGUAAAGAAGCACCGGCUAACUACGUG